GAAUGCUGACAUAAGUAACGAUAAAGCGGGUGAAAAGCCCGCUCGCCGGAAGACCAAGGGUUCCUGUCCAACGUUAAUCGGGGCAGGGUGAGUCGACCCCUAAGGCGAGGCCGAAAGGCGUAGUCGAUGGGAAACAGGUUAAUAUUCCUGUACUUGGUGUUACUGCGAAGGGGGGACGGAGAAGGCUAUGUUGGCCGGGCGACGGUUGUCCCGGUUUAAGCGUGUAGGCUGGUUUUCCAGGCAAAUCCGGAAAAUCAAGGCUGAGGCGUGAUGACGAGGCACUACGGUGCUGAAGCAACAAAUGCCCUGCUUCCAGGAAAAGCCUCUAAGCAUCAGGUAACAUCAAAUCGUACCCCAAACCGACACAGGUGGUCAGGUAGAGAAUACCAAGGCGCUUGAGAGAACUCGGGUGAAGGAACUAGGCAAAAUGGUGCCGUAAC
rnacentral:rRNA from 2 species